UUCCACAUGACCCCAGAGGAUUACAUGUUUUAAAGUGCAAUUAUGUAAAGCAGUUUGGAAAUUGACUAUUACCAUAAAUGUAAAGAGUAAAUUCUAACAAUUUACACCAGUACUUUAACGGAUAAAUCUAACACACUUACAACAAAAUGGCUGACCAAAAAUGCGAGCAGACACAAAGUGAGUCCUGCACACAACUGAACUAACCAAGUACUGCUGACUGGUUCUGAUGUAACCUCUCUUUUAUCCUACUGGAAAGGACUAACAGAUAUCCUAAAUGGAAUACUUAAGGUAACAUGAUAAUCUGGAUGUAAAUGGAGAAAAUUUCUGUCCCUCUUACGGGAAGACUGUCUAGGGACCAAUGGAUAACCUAUCUAAUAAAAUUUUUUAGAAUUGUGAUUAUCUUUGACAUCAGGAACACUCAAUAUCCAUUUCAUCAGUUGGCAAGAGUCUCAUCUUCAUCGACAGACAUAAGGCCCAUUAGAUAGGAAACACUACAUAUGUUAAUAUGUUAGAAGUCUGUGGUGUAAUCAUGGUAAUGUAUGAAGCAUCAAUGUUCGCUGUUGACCAUCUCAGUUGGUUAGUGCCUUCGGCUCUAGCAACCUGCGACUCUUUAGCCUGGUGGGGAGGGGAAUCCUUGUGGUCAUUGAAAUUUGGCUUGGGAGAGAAGUGACCUUGUGGGUUGGGUGUAUGGUGAUCAGUGGAACAAGAGACUGCCUUCAGAAUGUCUGGUGAAACAGUGGGGUUGGUUUGGUGUUGAAUGGGUUCCUCUUCGUCCUCACAGGAGUCAUCUAACAUUCCAGGACUGUAGCCAUCAGAACUCCAAGUACUCAGUAGCAAUCUAAUUUUCGUAUGCAAUAGGAAGUGCUGCACAAUUGGGAGCCAUCAAAUUUCCAUACAUUGCUAAUACAGAGGGUGCCAUCCAUAGUGGUCACUAGGUAACGAUCCCUGGCCUGUAAUUUGUUUCUGUCCAAGAAAAUGUACACAAGUCCUCCAUGUUCAAUGUUGCAAGUUGGCAGUGGUUAGAUCAAGGGGGCCAUGCUGUUUGGUUAUUAGAUCUUGGUCAGACAAGAGGAGUUUGUGAUUUGAAGAUCGGUCGUGCUGGCAGCACAUUUCCCGAGAAGAUAAUCUGUGGGAGUGGAUGUGGGAGUUGAGGAGGGCUGUAGAUACUGCAAGGGUAACUUCGGUUGCUGCACCUGUACAGCACUUUCUGCUAUGGGGUUCUUGUUAGGAUUCUUUGGGUGCCCUGUCUCUAGAAUGAUUCUGAUGUUGUAGCUGCUGAUCAUCCAGAGAUAGGGUCUGUACGAACAAUGCUGGGAGGACCAUCUACAGGGCGUAACUGAAUACAAUGUCAUGGAUUCACCCAACACUCGUAUAAGCUGUCAGGAAUGCUUUAAAACAUCAGCUGCCAAGGAUAUGCCAAUGGCAUGUGGUGGCCUUGUAUGAAGACUUUUCAAUGGGUGCUUGUGGAGUUUGACUUAAAGUAGAACAAUGGGUACAACUCUGAGUGACACUCUGGUGACAAGUUUGGGAUUUGUAUUUUGCCUGCAAUACUUGAAACAAUGCUGGGGGUCAGUCACAGCUGUGAGGCUGCCAACUUCUGUACACUUGCGGUGUUGGAACAAUGCUCAACGGCAUACUUGUAGUUGGUUGGUGCCUCAUAGGGUAGGGUAACUUAAAUGACCUCACCAGGCCAAAUGGUAGUAUUGGUAGAAGGGGCAUGGAUAACAAUAGUAUGAUGGGCAGUGGUACUUCCAGCUGUUUGGGCCUGAGAUCCAUAAAGGUAUGUGGUACCAUCGCUAAGGAUCACUUGGCAGCUGGAUGGACGGAGAUGUCAUUAGCCUCCAUGAAGGGUGUUCUACAUCAAGGUUCUCUACUACUUGGCCUUCAAACUAGAAUUUUCAGCUGCCACAUGAGAAUGACAGGCAUGUUUCUCCAAUAACCUUUAAGGGGGAGGAGCUAUUUGGUUGGUGAGCAGAUUGUAAGCUGGGAGUAACAUGCAUCCCAAGCAUGUGACAAAGGAGUGGCUCAUUGUUUUUCUAGCAGUCUAUGGCUAUACGAACCGGGUGACGAGGAUGGAAGGUAUCAAUAAGGAGGAUUGACAGGCCUGUAUACAGAUGGCUGCAGGCUUUAAACCAUGAUCAAGGUUACUGUACACCUUGUAGUAUUCUCUAUCGUAGGCACAUGCUGCUGUUUCACCAUUGUGCCUUAGUGAUAAAUUUACAAUCCUCCUCUGGGAGAUGAUGGAAUUUGCUUGGAAGAUGGUUAGAGUGAGAGGGACCAGCCUGUGUGCAAAGAGGACAUCAUUUUGAUUGAUGGGAUGGCCUCAUUCCCCUUCUGAUGAAGUUUUGGCAGGGAUUGUCCUGCGGUAGUUAUAGCGGAGCUCCUGUGUGCCAGCAGAGCCCUAUACCUUAGAUAAUUAAUUUUGGUUGUCACAUGACUGUCCAUUCAUUCGUACAUGUCUGUGAAUCUGUACAUAUGUGACCUUCUUUGGGAAAACGGACACUAACGCUUUUCCGUUUAUAUGGUGAAACUGUUUACAAUCCGUUUAUACCCAUUUAAACGGUUCAUGCAAGCGUUUAAAUGGUUUGCUUAUCCGUUUAAAAAAAGUUGCAUCCGUUUAACGCUUUAACAGAAACGUUUAAACGGUUUGCUUAUACAUUUAAAAAAAUUCACAUCUGUUUAAAGCUUUGGAGAAAACGUUUAAACGGUUUGCUUAUCAGUUUAAAAAAAUUUGCAUCCGGUUAACGCUUUAGCGAAAACGUUUCAAGGGUUUGCUUAUCCGUUUGAUGCCCUAGGGAAAACGUUUAAAUGGUUUGCUUAUCCGUUUAAAAAAAAAGCCAGCAGCUGUUCAAGGUAACCCUGCAAGCAGAACUAUCAAGCUAACGAUCGCUCGAUACUCACGGAACGUAAACUGCAGGACAACGGUAUUUUAUUUUAGUUCCAACUUAUCCAUGUUUAUAGAAAGCGAGUAAUCGUUGUAUCCUUGGACAAAUGACGAAAAAAAAUAUCUGUUUGCACAAACGGGCAUCGAGAGCCGAUGAAGCCAUUCAUUCCGACCAUGAUUCUGCCAUUGAUCUUGUUCAGAACAGUGCACUCUAUCUUGAGAUAAUGCUGUCUUGGUUCCCGUGUCAUAGUUUUAAAUCGUUCGUCAUAGACAAUUUAUUUAGCUCAAAAAUUUAGGUCAUUGCUUGGUGGGAUUGUGAGGGGUUGCAAUCUUUCAGGAGAUGUUUAUUCUUACCUAUUCUGUAACCAGCCAGAUCACACAGUCGAACGGCAGGAAGAAGAUAAAAAUAACGUGCGCGUGCUCAUUUGAUUGUGAUGUCACUUCCUUGCCUGUCCCGUAUUGUUAUUUUGAUUAUCGCUCACUGAUGAAUCACUCACUCAAUAAGUCUUUUACGACGACCUCAAUCUGUUCUUGCUAAUAAUUCUAUGGAAUGGAGAGCUUGAUUUGAAAGGGACCGAACACUUUGAAAACAGCGACGACCUUUGUGACCUUCUUUGGGAAACAAAAACAAAACGUGAAAACCAGGUAAAAACCUUCACCAUUGAAUUCAAACUCCAAGCUCAAUCGAUUAAAACUUUCGUUAUUGUAUAAUUAUUAUCUAUUGCUUCUGCUGUUUCCUUAUUAAAGAAAAACAGUCUUUGUUUUGCAUCAGAGGCUUUGUUAUUUUAGCAAUCAAUUGAGAGUACAGAAACCAAACAUGCAAAAUUUGUUGUGAGUUUGACUGAUCGAUUACCGCUUAAGCUGGAUUGAAAAUCUGUUCGAAUUCGCCCUGUUUCCUACCCGGCUUAUUUUCGUCAACUGAGCAGUUAGCCGUACUUGAGGACAAGAAUAGAACUGUGGAAAGAAGGGCCACAUGGAAAAUAAUAUCCCAAAAUAAUUUCAGUGUACAACUUCAUUUAUUUCAUUAGUAAACGAUGGUGUAUGUACAAUAACUACCUACGUAAGCAUCAUUUAAUUCUCUCACAGCUUAGGCUUGAAUUUAAUAGAAGGAAAAGUAAAUACUUAAGCCAAUUUGUUACAUAGCAUAACACUGGUCAAGUUCGAAACAAUGAUUAACUUAUGGAAAUGGUGCAACUAAAUCUUCAGUUCCAGGCUUGCAAAACUGUCUUAUUUCACGAUGUAAGUAGUUUCUGCGUUCAUCACUUAAUCCUUCUGGGUUGAUCUCCUGCGGAAGAACAGAAUCAGGUGGGAUCACAGCACCAUCCUUCAGUAAGGCACAUGCUUGUUCCGGGGAUGUCAAAUAUUCUCAGCAGUAAACAACACCUGGUUCAUCCUUGAGACGAUGAAGUUGGUUAUAACCGAUACCAUAAAGGUGAAUGAACAUUUCUUUGCAGAUGGAGACGGACUGAAACUGGUAGGUACACCUGGAACUUCUGCUUCUUUUUGUUCCAAUGCAGUCGUUGUGGCUGAAGGCUUGAAUGUUUGCUAAAAUUAUCAAGUCGAGCUCUCCACUUGUCAACUCAAGACAGUUAUUCAGAUUAAAUAACACCGCUUCUUCUUUAAAUUCUCUGGAGCAGGGACCUCCUUUGGAACCACGCAAACAACCACAGCCAUUGAGAAGGAAUUUUUUCGCUCUUUCGAUCAUUUCGUUCGGAGUUUCUUUUCUUUCUAUAAUAUCAACGUCUUCCAUAGUUUGUCACUUUCGUAAAAUGCACACAAGCAAAAGCAUCAUUUGUUGUCAUGGAUAUUAUGCAUUUGUAGGGGAGAAAAAAGUUAUUCAUAUUGUAAUUAUUACUUAAAUGUAGACGCGUGCUUCACUUUGUGUAGGAGGAGUUUUUAAUAAAAGCUAUUGUUUCGUAAUGCCAGUUCGUCUACUUUUCUGCAUGAUCACCAAUAACUUAGUGGGUGUAACAACUAUCAAAAAAUCUCAGUGAUUGGAAAGCUAUUCAGUUGUGGUAAUCAUUUGAGAGCCAUCUGGCACAAGGUCACGUGAAACAAAAAUGCUUAAUACUCAAGUUCAACUGAACAUAUACUAAUGAAAUUCUGGCCUGGAGUCCCAGUAGGCGUACCUUACACUAAUUAACUAAUUCAUAAAUUUGACCAAAGCGCUUGUGUCAUAGUGGAGCUCUUUGCUUUAUUUUGAUCGUAAGCAUCUCUCUUUUAACAGACCGAACAAUAAUUGAAAACUCGCGGUACUUCAAGAGCAGUUUCGAGACAACAACCUGCUGCCUAUUCACUAAAGGUUCAAAGUGGAAAACUGCAUAACUCGGGUUGUACUGGACGUAUCUGAAUAAAAUUCAUAUUAGUGUUCACAGAAUAGUCCGUAGAAUACAGCGAUUUUCUUUAUUUUAAGCGCGCGACAGAAAGCAGCAGCCUAAAGCAAGUCCGCAGUAUAUCAAAACUCCACCAGAGAAACCAAAAAAAAAACUUCUAAAGCUUGUGUGACAAAAGAUCAAUGACGGGAAAAAUCUCAACUCAAGUCCCAGUGGGCGUACCGUACAGUAAUUAACUUUAUUAAUGCUCCACUAUGACACAAAAUCUGUUUAUUCAAUGCGCUGUAUAUAAAAGGAUGCCUAUCUUAGGUUCGUUUGUUGUUCGUUUGCAUCAUUUGUUGUCAUGGAAAGUAUGCAUUCGUAGGGAAGAAAAAAGUUAUUCAUAUUGUAAUUACUUAAAUUUAGACGUGUGCUUCGCUUUAUGUAGGAGGAGUUUUUAAUAAAAGCUGUUUCGUAUGCCAGUUCAUCUACUUUUCUGCAUGAUCACCAAUAACUCAGCGGGGUUAACAACUAUCAAAAAAUCUCAGUGAUUGGAAAGCUAUUCAGUUGUUGUGGUAAUCAUUUGAGAGCCAUCUGGCACAAGGUCACACGAAACAAAAAUGCUUAACACUCGAGUUCAACUGAACAUAUACUAAUGAAAUUCUGGCCUGGAGUCCCAGUAGGCAUACCUUACACUAAUUAACUAAUUCAUAAAUUUGACCAAAGCGCUUGUGUCAAAGUGGAGCUCUUUGCUUUAUUUUGAUCAUAAGCAUCUCUCUUUUAACAGACCGAACAAUAAUUGAAAACUCUCGAUGCUUCAAGAGCAGUUUCGAGACAACAACCUGCUGCCUAUUCACUAAAGGUUCAAAGUGGAAAACUGCAUAACUCGGGUUGUACUGGACGUAUCUGAAUAAAAUUCAUAUUAGUGUUCACAGAAUAGUCCGUAGAAUACAGCGAUUUUCUUUAUUUUAAGCGCGCGACAGAAAGCAGCAGCCUAAAGCAAGUCCGCAGUAUAUCAAAACUCCACCAGAGAAACCAAAAAAAAAACUUCUAAAGCUUGUGUGACAAAAGAUCAAUGACGGGAAAAAUCUCAACUCAAGUCCCAGUGGGCGUACCUUACAGUAAUUAACUUUAUUAAUGCAAAAUCUGUUUAUUUAAUGAGCUGUAUAUAAAAGGGUGCCCAUCUUAGGUUCGUUACUUGCAACAAUCGGAACGGUUUCAACGUAGCCCACGCUCGUGUCGCAGACUCGAUAAACAUGUCUCUUAGGCAACUAUGCAAAGAAACUAAUAAGCAGCUGUCGAAAGCGUUGCUGUAUUUUCCACAAGAAAUGAUGACUGGUAUCGCCCCCACAAGGCUGAUUUUAGAUAAAAGCUUCCAAUCCAAAGAAGGGAGCACAGUGACAGUCAACUGGUAAGGCAAGAAGAUACAAGCAGAGAUUGUAGCUGUGGAUGAUAGCGAAGAGGUUCUCAUCAAAAAGAUGUUGAGUGGUCAUCGAAGUUUGUGUCUGCCGCUGAACCCAGCCCAAGUUCCAACCAGUCCAACUUACCAGCCAAAAAGCAGAAAACACACCAGCAGCCAAGGAAAACUCAAGUCGAUUCAAGUGUUCAUAAGAAUUGAUUUGGGCUGUGUUUUGAGGAGACCUGGAGCACCCACAUCUAAUCUUGUCUUACCCAUGGCGACGCAGUGCAUCAAGUUUUCAACAGGUGCUCACAUUUGUAAUGAAUUAUGGUCGUUUCUUGGUCAGUUCGCAAACUUCUGAUAGCCAGUUCGCAAACCUCAUAUAUUAUGCGUACUCUGAACUGUUACAUAAAAUUAGUAAUAAGAACUUCAGUGUAAGACGAUUAUAUCAUCAACAGAAAUUCA
rnacentral:lncRNA from 1 species